rnacentral:rRNA from 1 species
GACGAACGCUGGCGGCGUGCUUAACACAUGCAAGUCGAACGGAAAGGCCCUGCUCUUGUGGGGUGCUCGAUUGGCGAACGGGUGAGUAACACGCGAGUAACCUGCCCCUGACUUUGGGAUAACUCCAGGAAACUGGGGCUCUUACCGGAUAGGAGCUCCUGCUGCAUGGGGGGGGUUGGAAAGUUUCGGCGGUUGGGGAUGGACUCGCGGCUUAUCAGCUUGUUGGUGGGGUAGGGGCUUACCAAGGCUUUGACGGAUAGCCGGCCUGGGAGGGUGACCGGGCACAUUGGUCCUGAGAGAGGGCCCAGACUCCUACGGGAGGCAGUAGUGGAGAAUAUGGCACAGUGGGCGGAAGCCAGAUGCGGCAACGCCGCGUGCGGGAUACCGGCCUUCGGGUUGUAAACCGCUUUCGCCUGUGACGAAGCGUGAGUGACGGUAAUUGAUAAAGAAGCACCGGCUAACUACGUG